UACGUAGGGGGGCAAGCGUUGUCCGGAUUUAUUGGGCGUAAAGAGCGUGUAGGCGGCUUUACAGGUCCGUUGUGAAAACUCGAGGCUCAACCUCGAGACGCCGGUGGAAACCGUAAGGCUAGAGUCCGGAAGAGGAGAGUGGAAUUCCUGGUGUAGCGGUGAAAUGCGCAGAUAUCAGGAGGAACACCCGUGGCGAAAGCGGCUCUCUGGGACGGUACUGACGGCUGAGA
rnacentral:rRNA from 1 species